UGCAAGUCGAGGGGCAGCAUUUUAGUUUGCUUGCAAACUAAAGAUGGCGACCGGCGCACGGGUGAGUAACACGUAUCCAACCUGCCGACAACACUGGGAUAGCCUUUCGAAAGAAAGAUUAAUACCGGAUGGCAUAAUUAUUCCGCAUGGGAUAAUUAUUAAAGAAUUUCGGUUGUCGAUGGGGAUGCGUUCCAUUAGGCAGUUGGCGGGGUAACGGCCCACCAAACCUACGAUGGAUAGGGGUUCUGAGAGGAAGGUCCCCACAUUGGAACUGAGACACGGUCCAAACUCC
rnacentral:rRNA from 1 species